rnacentral:rRNA from 1 species
GUUCCAGCAGCCGCGGUAAUACGUAGGGUGCGAGCGUUAAUCGGAAUUACUGGGCGUAAAGUGUGCGCAGGCGGCCGAGCAUGUCGAGUGUGAAAGCCCCGGGCUUAACCUGGGAACUGCGCUCGAAACUACUUGGCUGGAGUGUGGCAGAGGAAGGUGGAAUUCCACGUGUAGCGGUGAAAUGCGUAGAGAUGUGGAGGAACACCGAUGGCGAAGGCAGCCUUCUGGGCCAACACUGACGCUCAUGCACGAAAGCGUGGGGAGCAAACAGGAUUAGAUACCCUUGUAGUCC